rnacentral:tRNA from 1 species
GGGCGUGUAACUCAAUUGGCCAGAGUGCCAACCUUACAAGGUGGAAGUUCCCGGUUCGAGUCCGGGCACGCCCA